rnacentral:rRNA from 1 species
GAUGAACGCUGGCGGCGUGCCUAAUACAUGCAAGUCGAGCGAACAGAUGAGUAGCUUGCUCCUCUGACGUUAGCGGCGGACGGGUGAGUAACACGUGGAUAACCUACCUAUAAGACUGGGAUAACUUCGUGAAACCGGAGCUAAUUCCGGAUUAUAUAUUGAACCGCAUGGUUCAAUAGUGAAAGACGGUUUUGCUGUCACUUAUAGAUGGAUCCGCGCCGCAUUAGCUAGUUGGUAAGGUAACGGCUUACCAAGGCAGCGAUGCGUAGCCGACCUGGGAGGGGGUAGGCCGACAGAGGAAGUGAGACGCGGCACAGAGUCCGAGGGGAGGCAGAAGUAGGGAAGGGACGGAAAAGGGCGGAAGACUGAAGGAGCAGCGCAGGGUGGGUGAAGAAGGGCUUCGGAUCGUAAGACGGUGUUAUGGGGGAAGAACGAAUGUGGAAGGAACGAUGCACGUCGUGACGGUACCUGAUGAGAAAGCAACGGCUAACUACGUG